rnacentral:lncRNA from 1 species
GAUAUGCAUAAAACCAUUAUAUUUCAUGACACUGCAUGAAAAAGAAAUUGACUUAUCGCAUAAUACCAGAACCAGAGACAUAUAUAUAUUGUAUCUAAUAUCUCUGCCAGAACUAAAAAAUAAACUACAGUAAGUCCACAUACACAUAAGAGGGUAUGGAUGUGAAUUAACAGAAUAGAGAACAAAGGACAAAGAAAAAAAAGGAAUAAAGAAUAGUGAAAGAAAGAGAAUAAUGGAAAAAAGUGUAAGUUAUUAAAAAUAUAACUAAAAAAAGAAGACAGAAAAAAAGACACCCCUCCGAGACGAGCCUUACAUGCACUGUUAUUACCCAAGGUUAAUUUUACGGCGGCUCAUUUUAUUUUGGCUUAGAAAUAAACAUAAUUGACAAGUUUCCUUCCCCUGCAUUCUCGAUCCCACAUGUAAAUAGCACGGUGAUUUUCAAAAAGACAUUGAUACAUCAUUACAACACACACUUGCCGUCAGUAUUUGAAAUAUAUUGAUUAAGAAGGUAUAGAAGAUUAAUGCACGCACACUAUUAUCCACCACUGGCCUAAAUAGUUAGUCCGCAAACAACGAGAGGGUAAUAAAAACCCAGCACUUUGAACACAGCCACCGGCAUGGUGUGAAUCUGAAAGCUUCCCACUAUCCAUUUCUACCCAUAGAAAACUUUUGCCUUUCAUUUAUCAAAAAUGAAAUAUGUUGAUAUUAAUGGUAUAUAAGAAUUAUUGGGGAAUUCAAACCAUUCCUAUUGUAAGUGAUAAAACUAAAUUUAUAUCAGGGUGAUUGAAAUGAGGAAAAAAAAGGGGGGAUCAGGAGUUCAGGGCCCCCUGUUUGGGAAAAGAAUUGGUUGAUUAUAUAUGGAAUCACUGAGUCAUGGCAGGAGCAGGCCCCUCUUAGGCAGUCGGUGGGCCCCACUUAUGAAAAAUUCUGGAUCCACCACUGUGGUCAGGGUGGUCUUCAGUUGUAUUAUCUUUUUAAAAAAAAAAUUACACCUGUAUAGUGUAUAUUCUUUAGUGUAAAUCAAGGGAAAAUACUGUGAACUAUCUGUGCAUUGGGGCUUAUUAAAAGGUAUUUCGGGGGGGGAAGAAAGAAGGGAGGGUGAGUCCAUGGGAGGUAAUCCCCACCCCUUUCAAUUUGAGAAUAUGCUAUUAUCUUGUAAACGGUCCAGAUCCCCAUCCCUAAACCAUAUAUAUUCUUGAAUGGGACGAUAAAACAAAUCAAAUGAAAUUAAAAGGAGGUCUUUUGGGGUUUCACCACUCUGUUCAAUUUGAGAAUGUGCUAUUAUCUUGUGAACGAUCCAGAUCCCCACCCCUAAACCAUAUAUAUUCUUGUCGGGGACAAUAAAAUUAAUAAUGAAAUAAAAUAAAAGUGAAGUCCCACCCCCUCUAGUUUGAAAACUUGUAAACGGUCAAGAUCCCCACCCCUAAACCAUAUUUUAUAUAUUCUUGUAUAGAACAAUAAAACAAAUAAAAGGAAAUAUAGGGAGAGUCCAUGGGGUUCACCCCCACCCCCACAUGUUUGAGAAACUUUUAAAUGGUUGAGAUCCCCUGUCAUCCAGUGGUUAGGUGAAAAAAUUUCAGGAUCCCUGAUCCCCACCGUCAAACCAUAUAUAUUCUUGUAUGAGACAAUAAAACAAAUCAAAUGAAUAUAGGAUCAUCCCCUUUGUCUUGGGUUGGGAACCCCCCUUUUUAAAAUGGCUGGAUCCGCCCCGGCAUACCAUCUAGCUAGCUAUAAAGGCUUUAAAAAUAUGAAAUCAAACAAGGAAAUUAACAGUGUAGGCAACUGUUUUGAAUUUAAAAAAAAAAAGUCUUUUACAUAUAUAACAAUGUUAAAUUUUUUGUGCAUUUAUUUUUGCUUAUCGUAUUUUCAAUAAUGGACAAAAUUGCAUGAUUGAAUAUUGUAAUUUAAGAAAAAUCAGCAUACAUGAUAUAAAAUGGGAAGUGGAAACUGGGAAUUUGACAAAGAGACAACAACCCAAUCAAAGAGCAGACAACGGCCGAAGGUCACCUAUGGGUCUUCAAUGCAGUGAGAAAAAUUCGGCACUGGUCUUCAGCUCAUAAAUAUGUAUCAGAAAUGAAAACGAGAUACAGCUUUCAGUUGUAUUAAUAAAAACCUCACAAUAAGUUCUGAAUAUCAGAAUAUACAGUAUUGCAAGAUUCUCUCAAAAUGUACACAUAGAGCUGAAAAACUGUCAGUGACUGUAAAAUUAAUCAUGCUAACAUUAAAGUCCAUGGAGUCCAUCUUAAUAUGCAUACUCUCGUACAAAGGAAUAUAAGUAUGCAAUAGACAUCAAGUUUUCAAAAAUAAGAGUAUCUAUGCCAUUAAUUUACGACAAGAUCUUAAUCAAGUAAUAAUUUCGGUUUGUUUAAAUAUUUCGGAGGUUAGUAUGACCUCCUCUUUGGUGAUGAUGUUUUCGUUUUAAAGUUGGGAAAAUUGUUUGUACAUGUACCAACAAAAAUAAAAACACAAAGUCAAUCUAGAAUUAUGUUUUUAUCAUUUUUUUAUGUUUAGGUUGUCAGCAAGAUGAAAAGGACAAGUAUGCAGUUCAAAAUUCAAAAUGUGGAUAAGUUGAGGUUCUAGGUCUUACCUUUGCAGAUUUUCAUAUUUUGCAUGAAUGAAAUCAAAGGUUAUAUGAUGGACAGCAGAGAAAGAAAAAAACAACUUUUCAAUUAUCCUGCUCCUGGAUAAAUGUAAAACAUCUUGUUUUUCGGUAAGUUUUAUGCUCUGUUUUGAUAGUGUUAGUGCAUUCAUCUUUCCAGUCUUUCCUCUAAAUUGUAAGUUUUUGGUGAGUGUUCACCAUGAAUUUCAGUAAGUAACUUGUGGAUUUACAUGUAUAUACUCAAAAUUUAGUACUAAUAUUAAUGGGAUUUUAGCAUGACAUCCUGCCAAAUGCUUGUUAAUCAUGUUUAUGUUCCAGAACAAACAAGUAUUUGGACUGUACGCUUGCCCAAUUUUAAGAAGUUGGUCAAGUUUAUUACAAACAAAUGUACAGUACAGAUCAACAUAACUGAAAUCUUUAAUAGAUUAAUACAAAAAGUUUAAUUGCAGUUAAAAUAAAAACACAGGUUUGGUCGAGCUGGUACCAGACAGUACAAAUAUACUUAAAUGGUCUGACUGUACACAUAUGGUGGGACUGUAAGUUCUGGACCGUAAAAGUAACAUCCGAAUACUGAUAUGGUCUGGAACAUUUAUACAUGUCUUAAAAUUAAUAUCAAACACAUUGGUGUUUGAUAGAACUAUAAUGUUUUGGGAUAUCAAAAUCAAAAAUAUCCCAUUUUUACUUUUAAUAAAGAAGAAGAUUAUUGAUGUAUGUUUAAAUGUAUAUUAAAAUGAGACAGCAAGCCAACAACACAAAAAAUAAGGAUAAAACAUACAUAUUUUUUUUGUAUCAAUGUUAUAAUUUCCAAUAUGUUCAAGGUAUUUUUUCAUUGAAAUAAAACACAAAUUGAAAUCUGUCUGAACUUCAAAAGCUUAAAGAAAUAUUGUUUCUGUUGUCUGCAUUUUGUAUAAUAUAUUGCAAAUUCUUGUGAAUAAUGGAAUGUUAUUAUAGUUGUCUAAAGUUUUAACAUUGAUCUUUAUACUGUAAAUUCAUAAAUUAUUGCGUGCAUUUAUUAUUGCGAUUCUGUCAUUUUAGACUUAAAUGCGAUUUUAAAUUUUACGAUUUUGAGAAAAAUCCUGUUUAAUCCAUAUAAAAUAUUUCAUAAUGCGAGUUUAAAUUAUUGCGUUUACAACUCCGUUGCAUUUUUCGCAAUAAAAAAAAACUCGCAUUAAUUCCGAAUUUACAGUAUAUAUAUAUAUUAUGUAUAUAACUUGGGAAAAUACCCAAAUGUUAUAAAGAAGAAUAAAUUAAUUGAUUGUUAUAUGGUAUUAGAAUAGGAAGAUGUGGUAUAUUGCUAAUUUGACAACCCUCCAUCAGAGACCAAAGGAUGUAGGCCGUUAGCAACUGAUGACACUGGACAACCUUUAACAAUCAGUAAAAUCCAUACCGCAUAGCUAUUUUUUAUUGAAAAUCAUAUUAUUGCUACAUGUAUGAAAACAAUUUUGUAUAAUCCAUUACUUUAGAUUUUAUUGGUUCUUUUUCAGAAGGAUUGAAAUUCACCACCUAGAAUAAAUGGAGAAAACAUAGAAACAAGACCAGAAUAAAUUCAAAGACAAAAGUUGGAUCAGUUAUUAUUUUCAUCACUCAGUCAAUGAUUUGAAGUUCUUUUAAAUUCAAAAAAAAUAUUGAAACCACAAUAAUGUCAAAGUUCUGUGCUGAAUGUCCAAAAAGUGGACUAUACCAUCAAACAAUGCUGGAUGAUAAGAAACUAUUAAUGUUUUGUGUUGAGGG